AACGAACGCUGGCGGCAUGCCUAACACAUGCAAGUCGAACGAGACCUUCGGGUCUAGUGGCGCACGGGUGCGUAACGCGUGGGAACCUGCCCUUAGGUUCGGAAUAACUCCCCGAAAGGGGUGCUAAUACCGGAUAAUGUCUUCGGACCAAAGAUUUAUCGCCUUUGGAUGGGCCCGCGUUGGAUUAGCUAGUUGGUAGGGUAAAAGCCUACCAAGGCGACGAUCCAUAGCUGGUCUGAGAGGAUGAUCAGCCACACUGGGACUGAGACACGGCCCAGACUCCUACGGGAGGCAGCAGGGGGGAAUAUUGGACAAUGGGCGAAAGCCUGAUCCAGCAAUGCCGCGUGAGUGAUGAAGGCCUUAGGGUUGUAAAGCUCUUUUACCCGGGAUGAUAAUAACAGUACCGGGAGAAUAAGCUCCGGCUAACUCCGU
rnacentral:rRNA from 1 species